rnacentral:tRNA from 1 species
GAGGGUAUAGCUCAGUGGUAGAGCACAUGCUUAGCAUGCAUGAGGUCCUGGGUUCAAUCCCCAGUACCUUCA